GAGUAAUACAAUGUUGCAGAGAAGAAGCUUCACAAAUUAGGUUAACAACUCUUAAUUAAUGCCUUUUUGGCAAUUCUGUUACAGUGGGCUCUAGCAUUUAAAUUGUUUGAUAGUUCUGGGAACUCUGGGUUGAGAAGGAUUGGGGAUCGGAGCAAAGUCUUAACACUAAGUUGGUAUUGGAUGGUUAUAGAGGAAUUCUCUUGAAGGAAGAUUUUUGCUUCUCUUGGCCCUAUACCUUAGGAUAAAGCGUGGGAAUUAAAAAUACAAUGGGUAAUGUGAUUUACAUUUGAUUUAAGGACAUGUCUCUCAAACCUCUAGCUGUAGUUUGUGCUUUAGGCAUGCACCAUUUUCCUCUUGGAUGAUAAAGGAAUCGCUAAUUGUUUUAAUUUUUUAAAAGAAUCAAUACAUAUGCAAUGUUUGGAACAUGGAGUCCCAAAAUUUGAGGAAACAAGAAAUUUCUCUUGGAGGAUAACCAGGUAUGUUUUUAAAAGGCCAAAUAUUCAUGUUGCGGAUUUUUCAUCAAAACAUUUUUUUUCAUGUAGAAAACAACUUUCAUCUGAUUUUUCCAUCUCUUUUUAAAAACAUAACCUUUAAUGGAUCAGAUUUCCAAGAGAAAUGGGGAGAUGAACUUCAACGUUUGUCAAAAGUAUAGUAUUCAAUGACUUGUAUUUUACUGAUUUUAUUUAUAAUAAAAAAUACCUUAAUGUUG